UGGGGAAUAUUGCACAAUGGGCGAAAGCCUGAUGCAGCGACGCCGCGUGAGGGAAGACGGCCUUCGGGUUGUAAACCUCUUUCAGCAGGGACGAAGCGCAAGUGACGGUACCUGCAGAAGAAGCGCCGGCCAACUACGUGCCAGCAGCCGCGGUAAGACGUAGGGCGCGAGCGUUGUCCGGAUUUAUUGGGCGUAAAGAGCUCGUAGGCGGCUUGUUGCGUCGACUGUGAAAACCCACGGCUUAACCGUGUGGUCUGCAGUCGAUACGGGCAGGCUAGAGUUCGGUAGGGGAGACUGGAAUUCCUGGUGUAGCGGUGAAAUGCGCAGAUAUCAGGAGGAACACCGGUGGCGAAGGCGGGUCUCUGGGCCGAUACUGACGCUGAGGAGCGAAAGCGUGGGGAGCGAACAGG
rnacentral:rRNA from 1 species